rnacentral:rRNA from 1 species
UUAGAGUUUGGUGCUGGCUCAGCUUUCAUGCGCCGAGCAGUGGUUUAUACAUGCGAGCUAAUUAGAUUAGCGCACGAGUGAGUAAUACGCGAGUUUACAUAAAUAUUAUAUAA